rnacentral:rRNA from 1 species
AUUGAACGCUGGCGGCAGGCCUAACACAUGCAAGUCGAGCGGAUGAAGGGAGCUUGCUCCUGGAUUCAGCGGCGGACGGGUGAGUAAUGCCUAGGAAUCUGCCUGGUAGUGGGGGAUAACGUCCGGAAACGGGCGCUAAUACCGCAUACGUCCUGAGGGAGAAAGUGGGGGAUCUUCGGACCUCACGCUAUCAGAUGAGCCUAGGUCGGAUUAGCUAGUUGGUGGGGUAAAGGCCUACCAAGGCGACGAUCCGUAACUGGUUUGAGAGGAUGAUCAGUCACACUGGAACUGAGACACGGUCCAGACUCCUAAGGGAGGCAGCAGUGGGGAAUAUUGGACAAUGGGCGAAAGCCUGAUCCAGCCAUGCCGCGUGUGUGAAGAAGGUCUUCGGAUUGUAAAGAACUUUAAGUUGGGAGGAAGGGCAGUAAGUUAAUACCUUGCUGUUUUGACGUUACCAACAGAAUAAGCACCGGCUAACUUCGUG